rnacentral:lncRNA from 1 species
AAAAACUUAUUUCUCUCCCACAUACUCUCUCUAAAAAGAUUUCUCUAUCUCUUCUUACAAAAAUUCUGAUUAUUUGAAAAGAGAAAAUUGGUCUAAGCAAAUUGAGAUAAGUUGUUUGAUUUAUUUAUUUGAAUUAUCUCUUGUUUAAUUAUAUUUAUAGAUAUACGAAUAUAAAUUGUUCUACACAAUUCUAUAUAUCUAUAUUUCAUCUAUUUAUCAAAUAAAAAGAUACUUGGGCGCCGCAAGGCUACGGAGAUAAACUUCUACGGAGAGGAAUCCGACCGUACGAUUCCUUAUAGUCUUCAGUAACCUUUUAUUGAUAUUAUUUAUAUAAAUAUCGUAAAAUAGAUACGACACUUGAUAGCUCAAAACAACACUAAGAUACUGCUCCAAAAAGAGUAGUCAUUCGAACCGGAUUUGAGAAUCGUAGUGAUCUAUUGAAAAUAUUUAUAUAAAUAUCAAUUGUGAAAAUUAUAAAUUCUGUUAUAUUUGGGCGCCGCAAGGCUACGGAUAUAAACCUCUACGGAGAGGAAUCCAACCGUACGAUUCCUUAUAGUACCAAGUGACACUAUUUAUAAAAGUUCACAUAAUAGAUAAAAUAUUUUUAUAUAUUGUUUGAGUUAAACAAUAAUAUUUGUUAUAUCAAGUAUUGCUUAACUGAUUUAUAUAUUAUACUUGAUAUCUGUCAUCACAAGUAUUUGCUCAUAAAUUUAUUUAUUCAUAAAAUACUUGUUGCU